GCCUCCGUGGCCGAGAGGGUAUCAGGCUUGCAAUCCGGAGGUUCCGGGUUCGAUUCCCGGCGAGGGCG
rnacentral:tRNA from 1 species